rnacentral:misc_RNA from 1 species
GAUGAAGAACGCAGCGAAAUGCGAUAAUUAAUGUGAAUUGCAGAAUUCAGUGAAUCAUCGAGUCUUUGAACGCACAUUGCGCCCCCUGGUAUUCCGGGGGGCAUGCCUGUCCGAGCGUCAUUGCUGCCCUCAAGCACGGCUUGUGUGUUGGGCUUCCGUCCCUGGCAACGGGGACGGGCCCAAAAGGCAGUGGCGGCACCAUGUCUGGUCCUCGAGCGUAUGGGGCUUUGUCACCCGCUCCCGUAGGUCCAGCUGGCAGCUAGCCUCGCAACCAAUCUUUUUAACCAGGUUGACCUCGGAUCAGGUAGGGAUACCCGUUGAACUUAAGCAUAUCAAUAAGCGGAGGA